AUUGGGUCAAUGAUGCUAACAAAAUUUGCGUUAUCUAUCUGAAAUUUUCCGUAGUGGAAUUUGAAGAUAACAAAAUCUGCAUUAUCUAUGUGCAAUUUCCUAU